rnacentral:rRNA from 1 species
GACGAACCGAGCGACCGUUGUUCGGGAUCACUGGGCUUAAAGGGCGCGUAGGCGGGCUGUCAAGUCUGGGGUGAAAUCCCACGGCUCAACCGUGGAACUGCCUCAGAUACUGACGGCCUCGAGGGAGGUAGGGGCGAGCGGAACGGGUGGUGGAGCGGUGAAAUGCGUUGAUAUCACUCGGAACUCCGGUGGCGAAAGCGGCUCGCUGGACCUUUUCUGACGCUGAGGCGCGAAAGCUAGGGGAGCAAACAGG